rnacentral:rRNA from 1 species
UAGUCGUGCCUGGUAGGCAAAUCCGCCGGGCUUAGAUGAGGAGUGAUAACGAGGCUGCUUGCAGCCGAAGUGAGUGAUACCCUGCUUCCAGGAAAAGCCACUAAGCUUCAGCUACACACGACCGUACCGCAAACCGACACUGGUGCGCGAGAUGAGUAUUCUAAGGCGCUUGAGAGAACUCAGGAGAAGGAACUCGGCAAAUUGAUACCGUAACUUCGGGAGAAGGUAUGCCCCAAGUAGGUGAACUCGUACAGAGGGAGCCCAAAGGGGUUGCAAAAAAUCGGUGGCUGCGACUGUUUAAUAAAAACACAGCACUCUGCAAACACGAAAGUGGACGUAUAGGGUGUGACGCCUGCCCGGUGCUGGAAGAUUAAAUGAUGGGGUGCAAGCUCUUGAUUGAAGUCCCAGUAAACGGCGGCCGUAACUAUAACGGUCCUAAGGUAGCGAAAUUCCUUGUCGGGUAAGUUCCGACCUGCACGAAUGGCGUAACGAUGGCCACACUGUCUCCUCCUGAGACUCAGCGAAGUUGAAAUGUUUGUGAUGAUGCAAUCUCCCCGCGGAAAGACGGAAAGACCCCAUGAACCUUUACUGUAGCUUUGUAUUGGACUUUGAACAGAUCUGUGUAGGAUAGGUGGGAGGCUUUGAAGCGAGGUCGCUAGAUCUCGUGGAGCCAACGUUGAAAUACCACCCUGGUGUGUUUGAGGUUCUAACCUAGGUCCCUUAUCGGGAUCGGGGACAGUGCAUGGUAGGCAGUUUGACUGGGGCGGUCUCCUCCCAAAGUGUAACGGAGGAGUUCGAAGGUACGCUAGGUACGGUCGGACAUCGUGCUAAUAGUGCAAUGGCAUAAGCGUGCUUAACUGCGAGACUGACAAGUCGAGCAGAUGCGAAAGCAGGACAUAGUGAUCCGGUGGUUCUGUAUGGAAGGGCCAUCGCUCAACGGAUAAAAGGUACUCUGGGGAUAACAGGCUGAUACCGCCCAAGAGUUCAUAUCGACGGCGGUGUUUGGCACCUCGAUGUCGGCUCAUCUCAUCCUGGGGCUGUAGCCGGUCCCAAGGGUAUGGCUGUUCGCCAUUUAAAGAGGUACGUGAGCUGGGUUUAAAACGUCGUGAGACAGUUUGGUCCCUAUCUUCCGUGGGCGCUGCAGAUUUGAGGAAGCCUGCUCCUAGUACGAGAGGACCGGAGUGGACACACCUCUGGUGUAUCGGUUGUCACGCCAGUGGCAUUGCCGAGUAGCUAUGUGUGGAAGAGAUAACCGCUGAAAGCAUCUAAGCGGGAAACUCGUUUCAAGAUGAGAUCUGCCGGGGGCUUGACCCCCCUAAAGAGUCGUUCAAGACCAGGACGUUGAUAGGUCAGGUGUGGAAGCGCAGCAAUGCGUUAAGCUAACUGAUACUAAUUGCUCGUGCGGCUUGACC